rnacentral:rRNA from 1 species
GACGAACGCUGGCGGCGUGCUUAACACAUGCAAGUCGAACGGAAAGGCCCUGCUUUUGUGGGGUGCUCGAGUGGCGAACGGGUGAGUAACACGUGAGUAACCUGCCCUUGACUUUGGGAUAACUUCAGGAAACUGCGGCUCAUACCGGAUAGGAGCUACUGCUGCAUGGUGGGGGUUGGAAAGUUUCGGCGGUUGGGGAUGGACUCGCGGCUUAUCAGCUUGUUGGUGGGGUAGUGGCUGACCAAGGCUUUGACGGGUAGCCGGCAUGAGAGGGUGACCGGCCACAUUGGGACUGAGAUACGGCCCAGACUCCUACGGGAGGCAGCAGUGGGGAAUAUUGCACAAUGGGCGGAAGCCUGAUGCAGCAACGCCGCGUGCGGGAUGACGGCCUUCGGGUUGUAAACCGCUGUCGCCGGUGACGAAGCGUGAGUGACGGUAAUGGGUAAAGAAGCACCGGCUAACUACGUG